GCCUUCGUGGUGUAGUGCUCAGCACGUUUGACGCGUAUUAGGACCGUGGUUCGAGUCCCGGCGAGGGCA
rnacentral:tRNA from 1 species